rnacentral:lncRNA from 1 species
UGAUCAGAGAAUCCUAAUUCUCAAUCAUAGAGUCCCAGACAGAUAAGACUCAUAAUCAGCCAUCAGAUCAGAAAGGAACCUCUAAUGUGUGUGACCCCGCAGGUUCGAACCUAAUCCGGUAGCACAGGAACCAAUUCCUGUACUAAUCAAAGCGACCAUCUAGCAAUGGUACCCGACGACCGGAUAGGUCGAAUAAUCACAAUCGCAAUAUUCAGAACCUACGUAAAUAUGGUUACCGUAUAAUUCAUCCCUUUUGACCCCUGUGUUUAGGAUGACUCAGGGUUAAACUGUCAACCCUGAUGAUAUCAUCCGAAUCGUGCUCAACUCAAUUAGUCCUAUGACUCCUCACCAGGACUACCCUGACCAAGAUUUUGCUAAAUUGAAAUACGACUGUACACAGCUCCUAAACUGGAGUGGUCAAUCCCAUCUUGACAUACGCACCGACAAGUCAAGUACUUAACUACACCCAGCAGCCUUCCGUCACUGAAUUAGAAAUUCAGGUAGUCCAGUGCCUAAGUGCAGUGAGUUGCUUGCAAGUCACCGUGGCGGUCUCAGGUCGGAGGGACAUUUAUACCCAUAUCCCAUCGGAGCAAAUCUUGACAGCAGAAAUAGCUCCGA